rnacentral:rRNA from 1 species
UGAGCAAUCUGCCCUUCUCUUCGGAAUAAGCGUUGGAAACGACGUCUAAUGCCGAAUACGACCUCCUUUCGCAUGAUCGGAGGUGGAAAACUCCGGCGGAGAAGGAUGAGCUCGCGGCCUAUCAGCUAGUUGGUGUGGGUAAUGGCCCACCAAGGCGACGACGGGUAGCCGGCCUGAGAGGGUGACCGGCCACACUGGGACUGAGACACGGCCCAGGCUCCUACGGGAGCAGCAGG